GUGGGAAGAGUGCGCGUCUGCAGGCUUCUGUUUUCCUUAUAACGUUGGGGACAAGUUCACCCCCUUAGAGUCCGGAGGAGGUGGUGGGGUAGGAAACUUGGGGAGCGGUGAAGAUUUGGACUAGUUACAGCAGGGAGUGAAAGAGGAAACCAGACACAACUUUGGAAGGACCUGCCAAGCAACUGUGCAACUCCACUAUGUCCUGUGAUAACCAAUUUCAAUCGCAUAGCAUUUACACCCAUCACACUCACUUGAAGGCAAAGUUCCACAUGCAAGCAAGCUUCGAGCCCAGCACUGACUUGUAUUUCUCAUGCUGAAGGGAAGAAGCCUUGAGAGAAAUAUAACUAUUUUCGUAUUUAAUGUCAGCCGAUUACCAUAAAACUCAGGCAAUUGGGAGUAAGUGGUUUGUGCUCAAGAGCGUUUGUGACCAGAAACACAGCCAGCCCUGCAGCCUUCCCCAGCCAGGCCCUAAGCAAACCAGACUGGGGACCGUUCUGUGGAUCUUUCUGAUUCACUCAUACAUGGCAGGAUAAUUAUCGUGGUAGUAAUUUCUUUCUUGUUCUUGCAGCAGUGGGGGAAUUUAAAGAAGGAAAAGGCAGUGUUUCCACGUCCAUUCCUGUGUACGUCCCCAGGUCUAAGCUCUUUUUACUCCUUCGGGAGAUUUAACACUUCUUCGUGUUUAAGGGGCCACCCUGAAGUCAAUGCCCCACAGGCCUUGGUGUGGAAGGACUGUCAGAGAACUAACGCCACCCUUCGAAAUGGAAGACUGGGAAUCAGCACUACCGGCAUUUCCUGGACUAAAGGAGAAGGUGUUCUUCCAAAGCAGAACAGGUGCACUGGUCCCCCAGAGGCAAGGCGAAUGGAUGCUGGUGUCCCGAGGGACGGUUUCUCUCUGAAGGGGGAAUAUUCAAGAAAGGAAGAAAUUGCUGGAUGUAUCUGGCCCGAAGCUAUGAACGAAGUAGUUUCAGAUGCUUAAAGAAAUAAUACUACAAGCUACAUGUGAUCUCGUUCGUGGCAGCAAUUUGACUGGGAAACGUGUUUUGCUUUAAAUGAUUCUUAUUUUUGCUUAGCCAAAUCAACGUUCUACAAGAACUGAGAUGAAUGAAUUUCUCGGAAUGGCGGAUGGCAAGAGGGUCCUCGUCGCUGGAAAUGAACCAAUCCCUUAAGCAGAAGGUUCUGUGGUGGAGGAGCGGGGUGGGGCGCAAACAGGCCCUAAACAGCCAUUUCACCUGUGGCUCAAUGAGUCCCAGGUGAUCGCAGAGACUGAAAUCUCUUGGGAGAACAGAAAUGAGGAACGUGGGAGCAGAGUUUCUGGGGAUUUAGAACUCUGUCCCAGAAACUGACCCCAGCACCUGAAACUGACAGUGCAGACGCUCAGAACUUUUGAGGAAUUAUAAUUUUAAGAAUGGACUGGAUUCUCCUUCAAGAAAAUGUCAAUUUACUUGAAUUUUGAAGGAUAAAAUUUGAAACUCUCAA
rnacentral:lncRNA from 1 species